CCUACGGGCGGCAGCAGUGAGGAAUAUUGGUCAAUGGCCGGAAGGCUGAACCAGCCAAGCCGCGUGAAGGACGAAGGUGCCAAGCAUUGUAAACUUCUUUUGUCAAGGGACAAAAUCAGGCUCGAGAGCCUGACCGAGGGUACUUGAAGAAAAAGCAUCGGCUAACUCCGUGCCAGCAGCCGCGGUAAUACGGAGGAUGCGAGCGUUAUCCGGAUUUAUUGGGUUUAAAGGGUGCGCAGGCGGAGGCACAAGUCAGCGGUAAAAUCGCGGGGCUCAACCCCGCUGCGCCGUUGAAACUGUGGCCCUUGAGUGCGCGAAGGGUAGGCGGAAUGCGGGUGGUAGCGGGGAAAUGCAUAGAUAUCACGAAGAACUCCGAUCGCGAAGGCAGCCUACCGGCGCGCAAAUGACGAUCAUGCACGAAAGCGUGGGUAUAGAACAGGAUUAGAGACCCGGGGAGUC
rnacentral:rRNA from 1 species